CAGUCGCCGCGGUAAAACGAAGGGUGCAAGCGUUACUCGGAAUUACUGGGCGUAAAGCGUGCGUAGGUGGUGGUUUAAGUCCGUUGUGAAAGCCCUGGGCUCAACCUGGGAAUUGCAGUGGAUACUGGGUCACUAGAGUGUGGUAGAGGAUAGUGGAAUUUCCGGUGUAGCAGUGAAAUGCGUAGAGAUCUGGAGGAAUACCGAUGGCGAAGGCAGCCAUCUGGCCUAAUACUGACGCUGAGGUACGAAAGCAUGGGGAGCAAACAGGAUUAGAUACCCCUGUAGUCCCUGUCUCUUAUAC
rnacentral:rRNA from 1 species